ensembl:miRNA microRNA 101-1
CUCAGUUAUCACAGUGCUGAUGCUGUCAGUUCUAAAGGUACAGUACUGUGAUAACUGAA